rnacentral:rRNA from 1 species
UUAAGUGACUAAGCGUACAUGGUGGAUGCCUUGGCAGUCAGAGGCGAUGAAGGACGUACUAACCUGCGAUAAGCUGUGAGAAGUCGGUAAGAGACGCUAUUACUCACAGAUUUCCGAAUGGGGAAACCCACCCAAGAUAACUUGGGUAUCUGUUACUGAAUACAUAGGUAACAGAGGCGAACCGGGAGAACUGAAACAUCUAAGUACCCCGAGGAAAAGAAAUCAACCGAGAUUCCCUCAGUAGCGGCGAGCGAACGGGGAUUAGCCCUUAAGCAUCUUGGAAGUUAGUGGAACGGUCCUGGAAAGGCCGGCGAUACAGGGUGAUAGCCCCGUACACGAAAACAACCUUGAUGUGAAAUCGAGUAGGGCGGGACACGUGACAUCCUGUCUGAAUAUGGGGGGACCAUCCUCCAAGGCUAAAUACUCCUGACUGACCGAUAGUGAACCAGUACCGUGAGGGAAAGGCGAAAAGAACCCCUGUGAGGGGAGUGAAAUAGAACCUGAAACCGUGUACGUACAAGCAGUGGGAGCCCUUCGGGGUGACUGCGUACCUUUUGUAUAAUGGGUCAGCGACUUACAUUUUGUAGCGAGGUUAACCGUAUAGGGGAGCCGUAGGGAAACCGAGUCUUAACUGGGCGUCUAGUUGCAAGGUGUAGACCCGAAACCGGGUGAUCUAGCCAUGGGCAGGUUGAAGGUUGAGUAACAUCAACUGGAGGACCGAACCCACUAACGUUGCAAAGUUAGGGGAUGACCUGUGGCUGGGGGUGAAAGGCCAAUCAAACUCGGAGAUAGCUGGUUCUCCCCGAAAGCUAUUUAGGUAGCGCCUCGGACGAAUACUACUGGGGGUAGAGCACUGUUUGGGCUAGGGGGUCAUCCCGACUUACCAACCCCAUGCAAACUCCGAAUACCAGUAAGUAAUAUCCGGGAGACACACGGCGGGUGCUAACGUCCGUCGUGAAGAGGGAAACAACCCAGACCGCCGGCUAAGGUCCCAAAGUUCUGGUUAAGUGGGAAACGAUGUGGGAAGGCUCAGACAGCUAGGAUGUUGGCUUAGAAGCAGCCAUCAUUUAAAGAAAGCGUAAUAGCUCACUAGUCGAGUCGGCCUGCGCGGAAGAUGUAACGGGGCUCAAACCAGGCACCGAAGCCGCGGAUUCACACUUAUGUGUGAGUGGUAGGGGAGCGUUCUGUAAGUCUGCGAAGGUGUAUCGAGAGGUAUGCUGGAGAUAUCAGAAGUGCGAAUGCUGACGUAAGUAACGAUAAAGGGGGUGAAAAGCCUCCUCGCCGGAAGACCAAGGGUUCCUGUCCAACGUUAAUCGGGGCAGGGUGAGUCGACCCCUAAGGCGAGGCCGAAAGGCGUAGUCGAUGGGAAGCAGGUUAAUAUUCCUGCACGACUUGUAAUUGCGAUGGGGGGACGGAGAAGGCUAGGUGGGCCAGGCGACGGUUGUCCUGGUGAAAGUGCGUAGGUGGUGUUUCUAGGCAAAUCCGGAGACACAACACUGAGACACGAGACGAACACACUACGGUGUGGAAGCCAUUGAUGCCCUGCUUCCAGGAAAAGCCUCUAAGCUUCAGAUUACAAGUCAUCGUACCCCAAACCGACACAGGUGGUCGGGUAGAGAAUACCAAGGCGCUUGAGAGAACUCGGGUGAAGGAACUAGGCAAAAUAGAACCGUAACUUCGGGAGAAGGUUCGCUCUUGACAGUGAAGUCCCUUGCGGAUGGAGCAGUUGGGAGUCGCAGUGACCAGAUGGCUGGGACUGUUUAUCAAAAACACAGCACUCUGCAAACACGAAAGUGGACGUAUAGGGUGUGACACCUGCCCGGUGCCGGAAGGUUAAUUGAUGGGGUUAGCGCAAGCGAAGCUCUUGAUCGAAGCCCCGGUAAACGGCGGCCGUAACUAUAACGGUCCUAAGGUAGCGAAAUUCCUUGUCGGGUAAGUUCCGACCUGCACGAAUGGUGUAACCAUGGCCAUGCUGUCUCCACCCGAGACUCAGUGAAAUCGAAUUCGCCGUGAAGAUGCGGUGUACCCGCGGCUAGACGGAAAGACCCCGUGAACCUUUACUACAGCUUGGCACUGAACAUUGAACCUACAUGUGUAGGAUAGGUGGGAGGCUUUGAAGGCGUGACGCCAGUUGCGCUGGAGCCGUCCUUGAAAUACCACCCUUGUAUGUUUGAUGUUCUAACGCAGGGCCCUGAAUCGGGCUCGCGGACAGUGCCUGGUGGGUAGUUUGACUGGGGCGGUCUCCUCCCAAAGAGUAACGGAGGAGCACGAAGGUUGGCUAAUCCUGGUCGGACAUCAGGAGGUUAGUGCAAUGGCAUAAGCCAGCUUAACUGCGAGACGGACAGGUCGAGCAGGUACGAAAGUAGGUCAUAGUGAUCCGGUGGUUCUGAAUGGAAGGGCCAUCGCUCAACGGAUAAAAGGUACUCCGGGGAUAACAGGCUGAUACCGCCCAAGAGUUCAUAUCGACGGCGGUGUUUGGCACCUCGAUGUCGGCUCAUCACAUCCUGGGGCUGAAGUCGGUCCCAAGGGUAUGGCUGUUCGCCAUUUAAAGUGGUACGCGAGCUGGGUUCAGAACGUCGUGAGACAGUUCGGUCCCUAUCUGCCGUGGGCGUUGGAUGAUUGAAGGGAGUUGCUCCUAGUACGAGAGGACCGGAGUGAACGAACCUCUGGUGUUCGGGUUGUCACGCCAGUGGCACUGCCCGGUAGCUAAGUUCGGAAUCGAUAACCGCUGAAAGCAUCUAAGCGGGAAGCGAGCCCUGAGAUGAGUCAUCCCUGACCCCUUGAGGGUCCUAAAGGGCCGUUGGAGACCACAACGUUGAUAGGUGGGGUGUGUAAGCGCGGCGACGUGUUGAGCUAACCCAUACUAAUUACCCGUGAGGCUUAACCAU